rnacentral:lncRNA from 1 species
GUUGCAUUGCCUGGAUCGCCAGAGUUCCAUAGCCUAUUUCCAUUGCACGCGCUGCAUUUUCUGGUGACCUCAAUGUAAGAACCGUCACCAUAGACAUCACCUGCACAGUGUACACUCAUGCUCAGGCAAGUAUCUCAAAAAAUCUAAAAUAGAGAUUCUUCAGUGUUUCCUAUUUAUAUGUAGUACCUCCUGUAGUAUAGAAGGAUCUUCUGAAAAUCUGGAUGCCAACUUUAAGGACCUAUCAAAACCACCUCGCUGGAUGAUAACAGACUUGUUUGCAUCGCUCGCAGCCAACUUGAAAAGAAGAGAAUGCGAUGUAAGUUUAAUUUGAUGAAAGUAAAGUGUUCUCAAGAACAUGAAUGUUGCAGUGUUGUAUCACACCACCAUACCUUAGACAACAAAGAACAACAAGAUUUUGCAAUAACUUUGUUCUUCUGUUCACCAGCCUCAUCGAUGCAUUGAAGCAGCACAUCAGUUCCCCCAUUUUCAGAUAUCGAACGGCAUAUUUCAUCCUGUGGUAACACAGAACAGAUGAUGGUGAAGUUCUCCUAUCGCAGCUUAUAAUCGUAUAGGUUACUGUGCAAUAGCUAGUUUUGCUUUAUAAACAUAGCCCCUUCAUGGAAGGAAAUGAAAAAAUCAAGAGAAAUGGCAAGGGUAAGAUGGUGGCUGGC